rnacentral:rRNA from 1 species
ACGCUGGCGGCGCGCCUCAUACAUGCAAGUCGAGCGUGAAACUCGGAGCUUGCUCCGGGUGGAAAGCGGCGAACGGGUGAGGAACACGUGAGCAACCUGCCCCGAAGACUGGGAUAACACCGGGAAACCGGUGCUAAUACCGGAUGCCCUCACCGGACCGCAUGAUCCGGUGAGGAAAGGAAUUUUGCUUCGGGAUGGGCUCGCGGCCUAUCAGCUUGUUGGUGGGGUAACGGCCUACCAAGGCUUCGACGGGUAGCUGGUCUGAGAGGAUGUCCAGCCACACUGGGACUGAGACACGGCCCAGACUCCUACGGGAGGCAGCAGUAGGGAAUCUUGCGCAAUGGGCGAAAGCCUGACGCAGCGACGCCGCGUGCGGGAUGAAGGCCUUCGGGUUGUAAACCGCUUUCAGCAGGGACGAAAUUGACGGUACCUGCAGAAGAAGCCCCGGCCAACUACGUGCCAGCAGCCGCGGUAAUACGUAGGGGGCGAGCGUUGUCCGGAUUUAUUGGGCGUAAAGAGCUCGUAGGCGGUUCGAUUAGUCGGAUGUGAAAUCUCCACGCUCAACGUGGAGGGGCCAUUCGAUACUGUCGUGACUCGAGUCCGGUAGGGGAGUGUGGAAUUCCCGGUGUAGCGGUGAAAUGCGC